CCUACGGGUGGCAGCAGUGAGGAAUAUUGGUCAAUGGGCGCGAGCCUGAACCAGCCAAGUCGCGUGAGGGAAGACGGUCCUAUGGAUUGUAAACCUCUUUUGUCGGGGAGCAAAAGACGCCACGCGUGGCGUUCCGCGAGUACCCGAAGACAAAGCAUCGGCUAACUCGGUGCCAGCAGCCGCGGUAAUACGGAGGAUGCGAGCGUGAGCCGGAUUUAUUGGGUUUAAAGGGUGCGCAGGCGGAAGAUCAAGUCAGCGGUAAAAUUGAGAGGCUCAACCUCUUCGAGCCGUUGAAACUGGUUUUCUUGAGUGAGUGAGAAGUAUGCGGAAUGCGUGGUGUAGCGGUGAAAUGCAUAGAUAUCACGCAGAACUCCGAUUGCGAAGGCAGCAUACCGGCGCUCAACUGACGCUCAUGCACGAAAGUGUGGGUAUCGAACAGGAUUAGAUACCCUUGUAGUC
rnacentral:rRNA from 1 species